rnacentral:rRNA from 1 species
AUGUCCACCACCGAGGCGCUCCUCGCCGCCUCUGGCAGCGGCGGCGGCGGCAGCAACCGCGUGAGCAUCGACGACGCGCUGGCGCUGCACGCGGGGGAGUUCGGGCGGUGGCAGCUGCGGCACUUCGUGCUGGUGACGGCGGCGUGGAUGCUGGAGGCGAUGCACACCAUGGUGAUGAUCUUCGCGGACCGCGAGCCGGCCAUGUGGUGCCCUGCGGGGGACGGGCGGUGCGGCGACCGGUGCGCCGGCGCCGCGGCCGGGUGGGAGUGGGAGCAGGGGAGCGGCUCGUCGACGGUGGCCGAGUGGGGCCUCGUCUGCGGCGACCGGUACAAGGUCGGCCUCGUCCAGGCCGUCUACUUCGCCGGCUGCAUGAUGGGCUCCGGUGUCUUUGGACACCUGUCGGAUUCUUUUUUAGGUCGGAAAGGGUCCCUUCAGUUAGUAUGCUUCCUUAGUGGAGGUUUCGGCCUUCUCACCUCGCUCUCCCCCAACUAUUGGGUCUAUGUAGCCUUCCGCCUACUCACGGGCUUUAGUGCAGGAAGCAUUUGCUUUUGCUCCUUCGUCCUUGCCACAGAACCUAUUGGGCCAUCCUAUCGAGGCGUCGUUGGCACAUCCACUUGCUAUUUCUUCUCCGGCGGUAUUGCAGCCCUUGCCGGCAUCGCAGCAUUGUUCCAAUCCUCUUGGCGCAUCAUUUACAUUGUCUCCUCGCUGCCCUCCCUCGCAUUCAUCCUCGUCGUCGUGCCAUUUGUCUCUGAGUCCCCGCGUUGGUACCUCGUGCGGUGCCGAACGGAUGAUGCUAUGCGUGUCCUACGAGAGAUAGCGUCCACCAAUGGCAAGAGCAUCCCAGAUUGCAUGGGGCUGAGGCUCGACGAUGAGGACGACAUCACCAAGAAGGUUGUGGAGACUUCAUCAGUCUUAGAUGUGUUUCGGUCACAGACAAUGCGGGCUAGGCUCAUGCUCUUAGUUAUCAUCACCUUUCUUUGCUCGGUGGUGUACUUUGGGUUGACCCUCAACGUGGUCAACCUAAAGAUCAACCUUUACAUCAGUGUGGUUGUUAACUCUCUUGCCGAGAUGCCUGCAUACCUGGUCACGGCGGUACUCCUUCAACACUUUGGCCGGAAGCCACUCACCAUUGGCUCGAUGCUUCUCAGCGGCGUCUUCUGCACAACUGCUAGUCUUAUCCCCGACGUCGGUGCCAUGAGGGUGGCGAGGAUGGCAUGUGGGGUGGUCGGGAUCUUUGGAAUGGCGGGAACAUACAACCUAUUGCUCGUAUAUGCGUCAGAGUUGUUCCCUACGGUGGUGCGUACCGUCGCACUGGGGUGCAAGGCACAGGGGUCACAAAUGGGGGCCAUACUAGCGCCCAUAGUGGUGUUACUCGGCGAGCGGGUGCCAUUCGUGGUGUUUGGCGUGUUGGCCAUCAUCGGUGGGCUACUGGUGCUCUGCCUCCCGGAGACUAUGAAUAAGCCUUUGUAUGACACCAUGGCUGGUAUGGAGAAAGGGGAGAGAUCAUCAAAAAGGGGAGAUGAAGUUGCAACCAGUAAUUUCCUAAUCUAA